GAUCGUAAGAGUUCUAUUUUUUCUGGACGCCGGAGCAUGGCGGAUAAAUUCAGCACAGAUUAACCCGUGCUGGAAAGGAAGUCGGGCACAGACACAAAAUAAAACAUCCGGCUUCUUUUCAAAAUAAAACACUCCGUGUUUCAGGAGGAUCGUAUUUCACACCAUGCAAACGGGCGGAGACGAACAAGUGAAAGGUUUUUAGACGUCAUUUCACCCCGAUGACACCAUGGAUGAGGAGAUGCUGAUUCUAGAAGUCUAGAAGUAGAUUUCCUCCUCUGGAAGGACACAAUCUACUGCUUAUAUGUCUAUGUGUCUGUCUUUAGAGAGACAAUUCGUUGUCGCACGAUUGAACGUGAAUCUGCGGGUUCUUGUGAGUUCUUGUGAUUCCUGCUGUCCAUAAUCCACCACGAAAUU